GGCAGAAAUGUACAGUAAAAAUCAAGCAUUUAGAUAAUGACAUGUAAUCAAACAGACAAUGAACAAUAUUAACAGCAACGAUUAAACGUUGCGAUCAAACUUUUGGUAGUUUUGUAUGUUGUUUGAGGGUUGGCAUCAUCUGAGGACCUCUGAGGGGUUUGCAUCAUCUCUUCUCAGGUGUUCGGUCACCUCAGGUCUUGGUAAGGGCUGGAUCCAGACUGAAGCUUGUGUAAUUCAUAGUUACCUCAGGAUGUCAAUCCCGUGGCAGAAACAGAGACACAAAUAGAGAAAAAUUAGCUGCUGUUCCAACCAAGCAAAAAAUUAUGUGUUCAGAUCAAAUGCACAUUAUUAUUCUUUGGCUUGGGUUGAACACAUAAUUGUUUGCUUGGUUGGAACAGCAGCUAAUUUUUCUCUAUUUGUGUCUCUGUUUCUGCCACGGGAUUGACAUCCUGAGAUCUCUGAGUUAAACGCUAAAUUGAAGCUGUGAUUUACGGAGGACACGUUGUCCCUGAAGAUUCAUGGCUUGUAUAAAACCCUCUCACGCAGCAGCUCCCGAGAGCCACGUAAAACAGACUAUUGGAGCUUUCAUGGCCUCCCCACUUCGUCUCACACAUACGGGUCAUUUCAUGUAGCGACACUGAGGUCGAGAGUUUGCUUUUAAAGAAAGCAAAAGCUGUCAAACGACAAUGGAUUAUCGAGGAGGCAGAUACGGUGGAAAAAACAACAUUAAGAGUGAUAAUUCAGGCUAAGAGGGAAUUACAUAACAUCUUAGACGUUUGCGGAUGGGAGGGGCUUCAGAAUCCCAUCUGUGCAGAAUUCAUCAGUGCAGAUGGGAAGCUGCCAGCAGCUCUGGAAGCACCAUCGGGACGGUGUGAAGAAGGCCACACAGUCACAGCCACAGCUGGAAAUGUGUUGAGCAUCUAAGCACGUUUAUAUAUCUGUCUGUCACCGUUCCGGGGAAUAAUAGUAUUCCAUGAGCUUACUAAAAGUCUCCAUCUGGAAUCCAUCUUUCAUGCAGCGCUGAGCUUCAUAUUCAAAUGAAGCUAAUUGUUGAUAUAAGAUUUUAUUGGUGUCCCCAAACAGCUCCUGCAUUUUUACUUUGGGUUUCACAGCAUCUUUCCCAGAGGAUGCAUUAUUAUUUAAAGAGAUGUAAUGCACUGUAAAGGCUCAUGGCUUGUUCUGUAUGUAUUUUCACAGGUUUCUUAAAGAUUCUUACAGAUGUGGGCUACAGUAAAAUAAACAAUAUCUGAACAAUAUCUACA
ensembl:lncRNA